CUUUAAGCUGCACCAUGAAGUCUGCCCUCGUGGUCCUUCUGGGGCUCCUCAUCCUUUGUGCUGAGCUGACACUGGCAGGUUCUAAGACGCCAGACUGCGCGUCAGAGCGGGAAGCCAGGAUACUGCCCCACACCGGAUGGUGGUGGAACAUGUGUGGAGGAUUGUUCUGGAGAUGAUUCAUGUCCUGGGGACAAGAAGUGCUGCAGCAACAACUGUGGCCACACUUGCCAAACUCCGCUAAACGUAAAACCCGGCGAGUGCCCCAAGUUCAAAAUCCCUCCUGGGCUGCCGUGCAAAACGGAUUGCUGCGAGGACAACCACUGCAAAGGGACCGACAAAUGCUGCCCAAUGGGAUGCAGCAAGAUUUGCGCCCCGGCAGGUAAGGGCAGGUAAGGGCAGGAUGCAGCGGCUCAAGCACAUGACUAGAGUCUGGUCCUCUCCUUCUUAAAAUA
rnacentral:lncRNA from 1 species